rnacentral:rRNA from 1 species
AACGAACGCUGGCGGCGUGCUUAACACAUGCAAGUCGAACGCGAAAGUUUUCUUCGGAAAACGAGUAGAGUGGCGCACGGGUGAGUAACGCGUAAGUAAUCUACCCUGGCAUCUGGGAUAACCCACCGAAAGGUGUGCUAAUACCGGAUACGUUGAUUUAUCAAGAAAGGUGGCCUCUGUUUCAUGCUAUCGUGCUGGGAGGAGCUUGCGUACCAUUAGCUAGUUGGUGGGGUAAUGGCCUACCAAGGCAACGAUGGUUAGCGGGUCUGAGAGGAUGAUCCGCCACACUGGAACUGGAACACGGACCAGACUCCUACGGGAGGCAGCAGUGAGGAAUAUUGCGCAAUGGGGGAAACCCUGACGCAGCGACGCCGCGUGGAUGAUGAAGGCCUUCGGGUCGUAAAAUCCUGUCAGAAGGGAAGAAAUGGUUAUAAGUUAAUACCUUGUAUCCUUGACGGUACCUUCAAAGGAAGCACCGGCUAACUCCGUGCCAGCCGCCGCCGUAAAAC